rnacentral:rRNA from 1 species
CCUCGGGUGGCAGCAGUGGGGAAUAUUGGACAAUGGGCGAAAGCCUGAUCCAGCCAUGCCGCGUGUGUGAAGAAGGCCUUCGGGUUGUAAAGCACUUUCAGUGGGGAAGAAAGCCUUGGGGCUAAUACCCUCGAGGAAGGACAUCACCCACAGAAGAAGCACCGGCUAACUCCGUGCCAGCAGCCGCGGUAAUACGGAGGGUGCGAGCGUUAAUCGGAAUUACUGGGCGUAAAGCGCGCGUAGGCGGUCUGAUAAGCCGGUUGUGAAAGCCCCGGGCUCAACCUGGGAACGGCAUCCGGAACUGUCAGGCUAGAGUGCAGGAGAGGAAGGUAGAAUUCCCGGUGUAGCGGUGACAUGCGUAGAGAUCGGGAGGAAUACCAGUGGCGAAGGCGGCCUUCUGGACUGACACUGACGCUGAGGUGCGAAAGCGUGGGUAGCAAACAGGAUUAGAUACCCCAGUAGUC